ACGGAGGGGGCUAGCGUUAUUCGGAAUUACUGGGCGUAAAGCGUACGUAGGCGGUGGUUCAAGUCAGAGGUGAAAGCCCGGAGCUCAACUCCGGAACUGCCUUUGAAACUAGAUCGCUAGAACAUCGGAGAGGUAAGUGGAAUUCCGAGUGUAGAGGUGAAAUUCGUAGAUAUUCGGAAGAACACCAGUGGCGAAGGCGGCUUACUGGACGAUUGUUGACGCUGAGGUACGAAAGCGUGGGGAGCAAACAGGAUUAGAUACCCUGGUAGUCCACGCCGUAAACGAUGAUAACUAGCUGUUGGGCCUCAUAGAGGCUCAGUGGCGCAGCUAACGCAUUAAGUUAUCCGCCUGGGGAGUACGGUCGCAAGAUUA
rnacentral:rRNA from 1 species